rnacentral:misc_RNA from 1 species
GAUGAAGAACGUAGCGAAAUGCGAUAAGUAAUGUGAAUUGCAGAAUUCAGUGAAUCAUCGAAUCUUUGAACGCACAUUGCGCCCGCCAGUAUUCUGGCGGGCAUGCCUGUUCGAGCGUCAUUUCAACCAUCAAGCCCCAGGCUUGUGUUGGGGACCUGCGGCUGCCGCAGGCCCUGAAAACCAGUGGCGGGCUCGCUGUCACACCGGGCGUAGUAGAUUUUAUCUCGCUCAGGGCGUGCUGCGGGUUCCGGCCGUUAAAAAGCCUUUUUUACCCAAGGUUGACCUCGGAUCAGGUAGGAAUACCCGCUGAACUUAAGCAUAUCAAUCAGAGGAGGA